AUCGGCGAGCUUCGGAAGCGCGACGGUCUCCAAAACCGUUUGCCGGGGGUUCGACUCCCUCCGCCGGUG
rnacentral:tRNA from 1 species